UACGUAGGUGGCAAGCGUUGUUCGGAAUUAUUGGGCGUAAAGCGCGUGUAGGCGGCUCGGAAAGUCGGGUGUGAAAGCCCUGGGCUUAACCCAGGAAGUGCACUCGAAACUUCCGAGCUGGAGUCCUGGAGAGGAAGGCGGAAUUCUCGGUGUAGAGGUGAAAUUCGUAGAUAUCGAGAGGAACACCGAUGGCGAAGGCAGCCCCCUGGGUCAAGAUUGACGCUCAUGCACGAAAGCGUGGGAGCAAACAGG
rnacentral:rRNA from 1 species